rnacentral:lncRNA from 1 species
UUCGCUACUGACUACAGCUACUGCUUAAAAAGUGUAGCGAACUAUUUCGCUAUUUCGCUACGCUAUAUUUUUUAGUUUUACUGUAUUUGGAGCAUCUAUACUAACUCAGACUGUCAUGUAACCUAUAACAAAUCGACUUACGAGUAGCAACAGUAAACACAAAGCAACAUUUUUGUAAUCACUACAGUGUUCAGGAGUGCAAAUUGACUAUUGAGUAUCGAUUUUAAGCAAAGCGUGUCUCAAUAUCAUGCUAUUCUAUCAAGUUGUCAACAAUUUGUAAAAGUAGCGAAUAGCGAUUUGCUGUUUGAAAAGUAGUCAACUACUUGGCUACUUUUAGGCAAAAUGUAGUUCGCUAUAACUACAGCUACU